GAUGAAGAACGUAGCGAAAUGCGAUAAGUAGUGUGAAUUGCAGAAUUCAGUGAAUCAUCGAAUCUUUGAACGCACAUUGCGCCCGGUAGUAUUCUGCCGGGCAUGCCUGUUCGAGCGUCAUUUCAACCAUCAAGCCCCAGCGCUUGUGUUGGGGGCCUGCGGCUGCCGCAGCCCCCCAAAAGCAGUGGCGGGCUCGCUAUCACACCGAGUGCAGUAGUUCAUCUUCUCUCCGGUCUUGUGAGGCGGGUUCCGGCCGUGAAACACCCCACUACAUUCAAGGUUGACCUCGGAUCAGGUAGGAAUACCCGCUGAACUUAAGCAUAUCAAUAAGCGGAGGA
rnacentral:misc_RNA from 1 species